rnacentral:lncRNA from 1 species
CCGCCUCUAAACUCCCUUCAUCCCCCAAAAACCUCUCUAGCCCUCCGAAAUCCUAACUCUAUUCCACCAAUCUCCGUUCAUUUUUCAACUGAAUCCAUGGCAACCCUGGCCAUGGGUGGCUUGUGCUCGCUCUCCAUCACCACUAACUUAAGCUAUUCGAAGUUUGGAGGCCUGACUUCCAUGGUCUCCUUUAGAUCUGUCUCGGAUCUGCAAGAUCCAUGGCCUCUCCGUCUAUUUUUCGGAAUAUUCAAAGCAGGAUGAGUCUCUCCGACUCAAUAUUUGACUUCCCUCAAGACCUUCUUAUCCUAGGGUCUUCUCUGUCAUUUUUAAGCCUUCUAAGGUUCUUUAUUCGUCUAUUUCUUUCAUAUUUAUGACGUGUUUGGUUUUUAACUGACAUUUUACAGCAUUUCCCCAAAUUUCCUUUUCCAAAAUUGUUCGAAUCCGAUUUUUAGGGUUUCUGGGAAAAGCUUCUAGAUGUUUUCUGAUGUGUGUUUAUGCUCGCUUGUUUAUUUCUUAUUAUGUUCAAGUUUGUUCUCUUAUUUCUUUCCUAAUUUUGCAAAGAUUCUUUUCUGUUAUUUGUUCACAUGUAACUUAGGUCGUUGCUCCUCACUCUUUGCCAUAUGUGUUUAAGUUCA